UGGAUAGCCAAUACACCCCUAAUCGGUGUUUAAUCCCCCUUUAAUCCUUUAUUUGGUUCAAGAUAUUACUAUUACGGGUCUAAUACAUUACUGAUCUAAUCCCCAAAAUCUACUGAUUCCUAAUCGCUUUCUUUUGGUGCUGCUUCAAGUUUUAUACCUUGUUUACCCUCCCGAUCGACGCUUCCCCUUUCCCUCUUCUGUUCAUUCCUUGUUUCUGCCGGUUUGCUCCCUCUGUCCCUCUGCCCAUAAUACUUUCCAGCAAUAUACACACCGACGCACAAGGAAAGCACUGUUGGUAAGCCUUUGUUUCUCCUACCCUGAACUUUUCUCCAGAAACAAGCCAUGACAGCACAAUAAUUAGCCAUAUCAUUCAUUCACCCAAGUUUCUUCUUCCUUCCUCUCUCUCCUUCUCAUUUUCUGGGAAGUUGAAGCUUUUGACAACGGCCGUACAAUCAAGAAAAUGGAUGAUAUUAGUAGCAACCAUAUGGAUACAAGCUUUUACAGGGACCAACUUCGAUUUCUCAUCAUAUUCUUCCACAUUGAAAUCAGUUCUUGGGAUUUCUCAACUGCAGCUUAACUAUUUGUCCAUUGCUUCAGAUAUGGGGAAAGCAUUUGGCUAGUGUUCUGGGGUGUUUUUACUGUAUUUCCCGUUAUGGGUUGUGAUGUUCAUGGCUGCUUUCUUUGGGUUUUUUGGCUAUGCUCUUCAAUGGCUUGUUAUCAAACAAAUCAUUUCCCUGCCUUAUUUCCUGGAAUAGGUACCAAUUUGAUCAAGUUACUGAGGAUGCCAUGGUUGAUAGACUGAGCAGUUUCUCCCUUGACGAUAACAACUUUGAAGCGGUGAAGCAACUUUGUUGCAGCAUUGCCAGUAAAUUUGAUGUUUGAUCUAAAAGUUUUUAAAUGCAUGUUUAUAUAUUUUGGAAUUAUGUUGCCAAUGGAAUCUUGUUUUUCUCCUAUUGCCUAUUGGGAACUGAGGCUUGUAAUAGGGGGUUGACUUGUUUGUUUAUGAGGAUGACUGGAUCAAAUGCUAUAUUUGGAAGUUGUUUUGCUGAUCAGGAUGGCUUUUAUUUUGCUGAUAAAUGGAGAAAUCAGUUGAAGUAUUUGAAGGAUAUAAGAAAAGAGCUUUACAUUACUACU